AAUUAGAGUUAGUAUACACAUUCCAUUCAGUAGAGACAUCACCAACCCAUUUUCUAUUUGUCGAGCAAAUUUCCAAAGUUCCUGAAGAUUUUGUUUCUUUUCUGGUGGUUGGAUUUCUCUACCAGAGGAAAUCAAAUUGUGUUACUGAAGAAAGGAUUAUAAAAAAAAAAGAGAUAGUGCUCUGAUGGAUUUCCUAACACAAAUAUGUUCCAUUCCUUGUUUUACCACUUGCUAAUUUUGUUCACUGGUUUUCUGCAUAGACAUAUAUUGAUUUAAGAAUAAAAAGCAGAUUAAUA
rnacentral:misc_RNA from 1 species